AGAGCAAAUGGUGGAUGCCUUGGCUAGUAGAGGCGAUGAAAGACGUGCCAGGCUGCGAUAAGUCUCGGGGAGCCGUCAAGGGGCUUUGAUCCGGGAAUUUCUGAAUGGGGCAACCCAGUAUAUAGUGAUAUAUACUACCGCAAUGCGGAGCGAACGUUGGGAAUUGAAACAUCUUAGUACCAACAGGAAAAGAAAUCAAACGAGAUUACGCUAGUAGCGGCGAGCGAAAGCGUAAGAGGGCAAACCACUAGCUUGCUAGUGGGGUUGUAGGACUGCAAUAUAGACUUAAACAAUCUAAUAGAAUAAGUUGGAAAGCUUAAGCAUAGAGGGUGAUACUCCCGUAUAUGAAAGUGCGUUUAUACUUAGCAGUAUCCUGAGUAGGGCGGGACACGUGUAAUCCUGUCUGAAGCUGGGUAGACCACUAUCCAACCCUAAAUACUACUACUAGACCGAUAGUGCACAAGUACCGUGAGGGAAAGGUGAAAAGAACUGAGGUGAUCAGAGUGAAAUAGAACCUGAAACCAUUUGCUUACAAUCAUUCAGAGCCCUAUGAUUUAUCAGGGUGAUGGACUGCCUUUUGCAUAAUGAGCCUGCGAGUUGUGGUGUCUGGCGAGGUUAAGGAAACCCGGAGCCGUAGCGAAAGCGAGUCUUAAUAGGGCGUAUAGUCAGAUGCUGCAGACCCGAAACGAUGUGAUCUAUCCAUGAGCAGGUUGAAACUGGUGUAAGAGCCAGUGGAGGACCGAACAGACGGCCGUUGAAAAGGCUCCUGAUGACUUGUGGAUAGGGGUGAAAGGCCAAUCAAACAUCGUGAUAGCUGGUUCUCUCCGAAAUAUAUUUAGGUAUAGCGUUGUGUAGUAACUUUGUGAGGUAGAGCACUGAAUGGGCUAGGGCAUACACCAAUGUACCAAACCCUAUCAAACUCCGAAUGCGCAAAGUGUAAUCACAGCAGUCAGGCGGCGAGUGAUAAAAUCCGUCGUCGAGAGGGGAACAACCCAGACUAACAGCUAAGGUCCCUAAAUCUCAUUUAAGUGGAAAACGAUGUGGAGUUACUGAAACAACCAGGAGGUUGGCUUAGAAGCAGCCAUCCUUUAAAGAAAGCGUAAUAGCUCACUGGUCUAGUGAUUCUGCGCGGAAAAUAUAACGGGGCUAAAAUGAGUACCGAAGCUUUAGACUUAGUUUUUAACUAAGUGGUAGGAGAGCGUUCUAUUCAGCGUUGAAGGUAUACCGGUAAGGAGUGCUGGAGCGGAUAGAAGUGAGCAUGCAGGCAUGAGUAGCGAUAAAAGGGGUGAGAAUCCCCUUCGCCGUAAACCCAAGGUUUCCUACGCGAUGCUCGUCAUCGUAGGGUUAGUCGGGUCCUAAGCAAAGUCCGAAAGGGGUAUGCGAUGGAAAAUUGGUUAAUAUUCCAAUACCAAUUAUUAUGUGCGAUGGAAGGACGCUUAAAGUUAGUGGAGCUAGCGGAUGGAAGUGCUAGUCUAAGGGCGUAGGUUGAGUUAUAGGCAAAUCCGUAACUCUCUAUCCGAGACCUCAAAGGCUCUUGACGCUCUUCGGAGUAGAUGGAGAAUCCAUGAUACUAUCGAGCCAAGAAAAGUUUCUAAGUUUAGUAAUAAUUGCCCGUACCGUAAACCGACACAGGUGGGUGGGAUGAGUAUUCUAAGGCGCGUGGAAGAACUCUCUUUAAGGAACUCUGCAAAAUAGCACCGUAUCUUCGGUAUAAGGUGUGCCUAACUUUGUAUUAAGAUUUACUCCCAAAGCAAAGAAGGUUACAACAAAGAGUCCCUCCCGACUGUUUACCAUAAACACAGCACUCUGCUAACUCGUAAGAGGAUGUAUAGGGUGUGACGCCUGCCCGGUGCUCGAAGGUUAAUUGAUGGGGUUAGCAUUAGCGAAGCUCUUGAUCGAAGCCCGAGUAAACGGCGGCCGUAACUAUAACGGUCCUAAGGUAGCGAAAUUCCUUGUCGGUUAAAUACCGACCUGCAUGAAUGGCGUAACGAGAUGGGAGCUGUCUCAAAGAGGGAUCCAGUGAAAUUGUAGUGGAGGUGAAAAUUCCUCCUACCCGCGGCAAGACGGAGAGACCCCGUGGACCUUUACUACAGCUUGACACUGCUAUUUGGAUAAAGAUGCGCAGGAUAGGUGGGAGGCUUUGAUCCAUAGACUCUGGUUUAUGGUGAGCCAUUGUUGAGAUACCACUCUUCUUUAUUUGGGUAGCUAACUAGCCUAAGUUAUCCUUAGGUAGGACAAUGUCUGGUGGGUAGUUUGACUGGGGCGGUCGCCUCCCAAAGUGUAACGGAGGCUUACAAAGGUUGGCUCAGAACGGUUGGAAAUCGUUCGUAGAGUAUAAAGGCAUAAGCCAGCUUAACUGCGAGACGUACAUGUCAAGCAGAGACGAAAGUCGGUCUUAGUGAUCCGGUGGUUCUGUGUGGAAGGGCCAUCGCUCAAAGGAUAAAAGGUACCCCGGGGAUAACAGGCUGAUCUCCCCCAAGAGCUCACAUCGACGGGGAGGUUUGGCACCUCGAUGUCGGCUCAUCGCAUCCUGGGGCUGGAGCAGGUCCCAAGGGUAUGGCUGUUCGCCAUUUAAAGCGGUACGCGAGCUGGGUUCAGAACGUCGUGAGACAGUUCGGUCCCUAUCUGCCGUGGGCGUAAGAAGAUUGAGGAGAGUUGACCCUAGUACGAGAGGACCGGGUUGAACCAGCCACUGGUGUAUCAGUUGUUCUGCCAAGAGCAUCGCUGAGUAGCUAAGCUGGGAUGUGAUAAGAGCUGAAAGCAUCUAAGCUCGAAGCCAACUCCAAGAUGAAUCUUCUUUUAAGAGCUCUAGUAGACUACUAGUUUGAUAGGCUGGGUGUGUAAUGGAUGAGAGUCCUUUAGCUGACCAGUACUAAUAGCUCGUUUGCUUAUCUU
rnacentral:rRNA from 2 species